GACGAACGCUGGCGGCGUGCCUAACACAUGCAAGUCGAGCGAGGAGAGUCCUUCGGGAACAAACCUAGCGGCGGACGGGUGAGUAACACGUGGGCAACCUGCCUUGUAGAGGGGAAUAGCCUUCCGAAAAGGAAAGAUUAAUACCGCAUAACAUUACAGUUUCGCAUGAAACAGUAAUUAAAGGAGUAAAUCCGCUACAAGAUGGGCCCGCGGCGCAUUAGCUAGUUGGUGAGGUAACGGCUCACCAAGGCGACGAUGCGUAGCCGACCUGAGAGGGUGAUCGGCCACAUUGGGACUGAGACACGGCCCAGACCCCUACGGGAGGCAGCAGUGGGGAAUAUUGCACAAUGGGGGAAACCCUGAUGCAGCAACGCCGCGUGAGUGAUGAAGGUUUUCGGAUCGUAAAGCUCUGUCUUCGGGGACGAUAAUGACGGUACCCGAGGAGGAAGCCACGGCUAACUACGUG
rnacentral:rRNA from 1 species